UGACUGAAACGGCAAACCGGAGGAAACUCCGGGACGCAAAGCAAGGGGGCUAAGGCGGGAACGCUACGCCAGCCCGGCUGCCAAA
rfam:Oscillibacter sp. CAG:155 genomic scaffold, scf73